AGUGAACGCUGGCGGUAUGCCUAACACAUGCAAGUCGAACGGCAACACAGUACGAGCUUGCUCUUACGGGUGGCGAGUGGCGUACGGGUGAGGAAUACACCGAAAUCUACUUUUUCGUGGAGGAUAACGUAGGGUAACUUACGCUAAUACCUCAUACGAACUACGGGUGAAAGCAGGGGAUCUUCUGACCUUGCGCGAUUGAAUGAGCCGAUGUCGGAUUAGCUAGUUGGCGGGGUAAAGGCCCACCAAGGCGACGAUCCGUAGCUGGUCGGAGAGGAUGAUCAGCCACACUGGAACUGAGACACGGUCCAGACUCCUACGGGAGGCAGCAGUGGGGAAUAUUGGACAAUGGGCGCAAGCCUGAUCCAGCCAUACCGCGUGGGUGAAGAAGGCCUUCGGGUUGUAAAGCCCUUUUGUUGGGAAAGAAAAGCAGCAGGUUAAUACCCCGCUGUUCUGACGGUACCCAAAGAAUAAGCACCGGCUAACUUCGUG
rnacentral:rRNA from 1 species